rnacentral:rRNA from 1 species
AUCGAACGCUGGCGGCAUGCCUUACACAUGCAAGUCGAACGGUAACGGGCCUUCGGGUGCCGACGAGUGGCGAACGGGUGAGUAAUAUAUCGGAACGUACCUUUCAGUGGGGGAUAACGGAGCGAAAGUCACGCUAGUACCGCAUAUUCUGUGAGCAGGACAGCAGGGGACCUUCCGGCCUAGCGCUGAUUGAGCGGCCGAUGUCAGAUUAGCUAGGUGGGGAGGUAAAGGCUCACCAAGGCUACGAUCUGUAGCGGGUCUGAGAGGAUGGUCCGCCACCCUGGAACAGAGGAACGGGCCAGGCUCCUACGGGAGGGAGGAGGGGGGAAUUUUGGACAAUGGGGGCAACGCUGAUCCAACCAUGCCGCGGGAGGGAAGAAGGCCUUCGGGUUGUAAAGCUCUUGCGGCCGGGAAAAAAGCGCGUCAGCUAAUACCUGGUGUGGAUGAUGGUACCGGAAUAAGAAGCACCGGCUAACUACGUGCCAGCCGCCGCCGUAAAAC